rnacentral:rRNA from 1 species
GGUAUUGAAAUAAGAUUUUAAAUGAGUGCUAAGAGAAUGAUUAAACAAUUAAAAGCUUUCUUUAAUUAAAAAAUUAAAUUUAAUUUUUUUAGUGCAAAAGCAAAAAUAAAAUUUAGGGACAAGAAGACCCUAUGAAUUUUUAUUGUUAAUAAUUAAAAUUUAAGUUAUUAAUAAUUUAAUUGGGGCGAUAAAAAAAGAAUAAGUAUCUUUUUAGUUAUAAAAUAAGUUCCGUUUUUAGCGAUUAAAUGAAAUAAAUACUCUAGGGAUAACAGCGUAAUAAUUUUGGAUAGUUCAUAUAGAUAAAAUAGUUUGCGACCUCGAUGUUGGAUUAGGAUUCU